rnacentral:rRNA from 1 species
UACGGGAGGCAGCAGUGGGGAAUAUUGCACAAUGGGCGCAAGCCUGAUGCAGCCAUGCCGCGUGUAUGAAGAAGGCCUUCGGGUUGUAAAGUACUUUCAGUCGUGAGGAAGGUGUUAAGGUUAAUAACCUUAGCAAUUGACGUUAGCGACAGAAGAAGCACCGGCUAACUCCGUGCCAGCAGCCGCGGUAAUACGGAGGGUGCGAGCGUUAAUCGGAAUUACUGGGCGUAAAGGGCACGCAGGCGGUUAAUUAAGUUGGAUGUGAAAUCCCCGGGCUUAACCUGGGAAUGGCAUUCAAGACUGGUUAGCUAGAGUCUUGUAGAGGGGGUAGAAUUCCAUGUGUAGCGGUGAAAUGCGUAGAGAUGUGGAGGAAUACCGGUGGCGAAGGCGGCCCCUGGCAAAGGACUGACGCUCAUGUGCGAAAGCGUGGGGAGGCAAACAGGGAUUAGAUA